AGUGAACGCUGGCGGCGUGCUUAACACAUGCAAGUCGAACGCAUAAGAUUGGUGCUUGCACUAGUCAAGUGAGUGGCAGACGGGUGAGUAAUACAUGGGAAUCUGCCUUGUAGUAUGGGAUAACUAUUGGAAACGAUGGCUAAUACCAUAUAUUGCCGAGAGGUGAAAGAUUUAUCGCUACAAGAUGAGCCCAUGCGGGAUUAGCUAGUUGGUGGGGUAAUGGCCUACCAAGGCAAUGAUCUCUAGUUGGUCUGAGAGGAUGAUCAGCCACACUGGAACUGAGACACGGUCCAGACUCCUACGGGAGGCAGCAGUGAGGAAUAUUGGACAAUGGGCGAAAGCCUGAUCCAGCAACGCCGCGUGAAUGGUAAGGCCCUAGGGUUGUAAAGUUCUUUUAGUGGGGAAGAUAAUGACGGUAUCCACAGAAAAAGCUCCGGCUAACUUCGUGCCAGCAGCCGCCGUAAAAC
rnacentral:rRNA from 1 species